rnacentral:rRNA from 1 species
CUCUGUGACUCCUACGGGAGGCAGCAGUGGGGAAUAUUGCACAAUGGGCGCAAGCCUGAUGCAGCCAUGCCGCGUGUGUGAAGAAGGCCUUCGGGUUGUAAAGCACUUUCAGUUGUGAGGAAGGUGGUGUCGUUAAUAGCGGCAUCAUUUGACGUUAGCAACAGAAGAAGCACCGGCUAACUCCGUGCCAGCAGCCGCGGUAAUACGGAGGGUGCGAGCGUUAAUCGGAAUUACUGGGCGUAAAGCGCAUGCAGGUGGUUGUUAAGUCAGAUGUGAAAGCCCGGGGCUCAACCUCGGAACUGCAUUUGAAACUGGCAGACUAGAGUACUGUAGAGGGGGUAGAAUUUCAGGUGUAGCGGUGAAAUGCGUAGAGAUCUGAAGGAAUACCGGUGGCGAAGGCGGCCCCCUGGACAGAUACUGACACUCAGAUGCGAAAGCGUGGGGAGCAAACAGGAUUAGAUACCCUGUAG